rnacentral:rRNA from 1 species
UACGUAGGGGGCAAGCGUUGUCCGGAUUUAUUGGGCGUAAAGAGCUCGUAGGUGGUUCGGUAAGUCGGAUGUGAAAUCUCCAGGCUCAACCUGGAGGGUCAUUCGAUACUGCCGUGACUAGAGUUCGGUAGGGGAGUGUGGAAUUCCUGGUGGAGCGGGUGAAAUGCGCAGAUAUCAGGAGGAACACCGGUGGCGAAGGCGGGUCUCUGGGUAGUAACUGACGCUGAGGAACGAAAGCGUGGGUAGCGAACAGG